rnacentral:antisense_RNA from 1 species
GGCGCUUGAGGCUUUUUGCUUCAUGACGUUCGGUGGGUUUGUUACGGUUGUUGUGAGGCAGAAAGAAGAAAGCCCCGAAGGUAAUUUUUCAAUUAACCAACGAGGCAUCCUGAUGCUAGACACAUCCAGAAUAGCCUCUUACUGCGCUCUGCGCAAGGAGAAGAAGGCUAU